ACAAAAUAAAUUUCCAAACAAGUUGCGUUAUCUUAAUUAUGAACUGUUGUUGAUCAAAGUACAAAAUGAAGUUCCAGAUAAGCACGUGAUGUCAUAGCGAACCAAAUUAUCAAGCAUAAAUAUAAGAGUACACUAAGUUUUAACCAACACAUAGUCUCACACAUUAGUAUAUCGUCAAGCAAGUUUGUUAGCUACUCUGCACGAAGCCACCAAGCAGUUUUGUACCAACACAAAGCACACAUGCCACCACCCCUCCAUGCAUCCAUGCAGCAUGUAGUCGAAACCUGUAGCAUGCAGCAAAAACAUGAACAAGAAAAUAAAAAACACUUUCUGCUACUUUUAUCGCUAAAAUUUCAUAUCUGACAUGAAAGCGUCAAUCCAAAAUUAAAUAAAGAAUGCACAAAACAUAAUUGAAGAACAUCAAGACUGAACAAUACAUUUUAUUAGAGGUAACAUAUUUAGAAACAUUAACAUAAUUCAUUAAUUUAUGAAUGGGUUGAUCAGAAGUUCAAACAAUCAUACUAUUACUUUCAUACAAGGACAUUUCUAGAAGAAAAUAAUAUACACGUCAUCUUUAUGACAAAAAAUACAAGAGCAUAUUCGGAAAGCAUAACUAUAUUACCUGAACAUAGUGCAUACCUUGUUGCUACUAACCUCAACUAUUCUUCGGUGCUCGAAGCACUAGUAGAAUCCACUAUUGUCCCCUCAACGUCUGUUCUAACCCAGUGUUGGUCAUUGUUCUUUCUUUUCAAAAUCUCUCCAAGCUGUGAAACAUGAAAUGGCUGGUUUUCUGUCUCCUCUUCCCAUUCCAAGUUACCUAAGUCAUAUACAUCUCUAGGCUUUGGCAACUUCAUUACCACAAACCAACCUAGAUUCAAUUCGUCUUUCACAUAGAACACUUGAUUCGCCUGGUUAGGGAAAAUAAAAGGCUCAUGCUCAAUCUUUUCUCAUUUGUGUAUUUUAUGUGAGAAAUUGACAAGUGUGUAACCGUACUUGUCUUUUUUCAUUCCUUUUUCUGAGAACACAUUAACCCAUUCACAUCUAAACAACACCACUGAAAACUGUCCAGAGUAGUUUAGCUCGACAAUAUCAAUUACCCUCCCAUAGUACGUCACAUCCUGUAAAACUGCAUUAGCAUCGCGUGUUGAAUCAUAACGAGAUGUUUUUGCAGUUACCAUGACUCCACUAUUUUGUGUCUCUUUAUCCAAGCAUUUAGGCCUAAAAUGGUAGCCUCGGGAGUUGAAAGCGCAAUAUCUUUUGGCUGCAUUAACUGGGCCCCGGGCCAACAAUCUAAUAUCCUUUUCAAUACUAUGGACGCCAUUUCCCUUCUCCAAUUUAUUUAUCUGAAUACUUAGAAUUUGAUUAAAACUAAAUGUAGUGAUGCGUGUAUAGUAUAUGCAGAAUAUGGCACUUACAUGAGCUUGGAACCAUUCGUGGAACUUAUCUUUUUGAA
rnacentral:lncRNA from 1 species